rfam:Triticum aestivum genome assembly, contig: Triticum_aestivum_CS42_TGACv1_scaffold_501316_6BL
GAAGUACUUCCUCCGUUCAAAAAUACUUGUCAUCAAAAUGGAUAAAAGGAGAUGUAUCUAGAACUAAAAUACAUCUAGAUACAUCCUCUUUUAUCUAUUUUGAUGACAAGUAUUUUUGGAAGGUGGGAGUAUGUA